rnacentral:rRNA from 1 species
UACGGAAGGCAGCAGUGGGGAAUAUUGCACAAUGGGCGCAAGCCUGAUGCAGCCAUGCCGCGUGUAUGAAGAAGGCCUUCGGGUUGUAAAGUACUUUCAGUCGUGAGGAAGGUGUUAAGGUUAAUAACCUUAGCAAUUGACGUUAGCGACAGAAGAAGCACCGGCUAACUCCGUGCCAGCAGCCGCGGUAAUACGGAGGGUGCGAGCGUUAAUCGGAAUUACUGGGCGUAAAGGGCACGCAGGCGGUUAAUUAAGUUGGAUGUGAAAUCCCCGGGCUUAACCUGGGAAUGGCAUUCAAGACUGGUUAGCUAGAGUCUUGUAGAGGGGGUAGAAUUCCAUGUGUAGCGGUGAAAUGCGUAGAGAUGUGGAGGAAUACCGGGUGGCGAAGGCGGCCCCUGGGACAAAGGCUGACGCUCAUGUGCGAAAGCGUGGGGAGCAAACGAGGAUUAGAU